rnacentral:tRNA from 1 species
GAUUAAUUAGCAUAUGAUAUGUAUAUAUUUUGAAAAUAUAAGAUAUAAUUUUUAAAUAAAAAAUUUUAUUAUUCU